AAAUAAAUUAGUUCUCAGCUACUACUACACAUUUGCAUAAAGGGAAGAAAGAAGGUGAAGAUGAAGCUAGUGAAGUCAUGGUUUCUUUUGCGCUUCACCUAUUUGCUGCUUCUUUUACUUGCAUUCAUAUGUGAAUUUGGGUAUGUAUAUAUUUACCCUAAUGUAUACUAAGACUAAUAUAAAACCUAAUUUAUUCAUAUAUAAUUAUUAUUCUUGCUUACAUUUUUUAUAGCUCCAAUCAAAUUAAUCUAAAGGUAUUUUGGUAGCAAAAAUAGUUAAUGUAGAUGAUUACUGUUUGUCAUAGGAUAGUAGGGAAUCACAUAUUAAUGCGCCGUAAGUGUAGAGAUAUUUUGUAAAGUUCAUUCAAAACUUAUAAUGUUGAUCUGAAAAUAUAUUCAUCUAGUAAGUUAUUUUUCGUCACAUUUAUACAUUUUCAGGUAAGGUCCUAUGAAAUAAUAUUUAGAUGACAACAAGUUAUUGUAGCUUCUGUAUUCAACCAUAUUUCAAUAAAUACUUAUUCUUUUUUAAUAUAGAUUAUUUGUGUCCUAUUCAUAUAUUAUUAUUGCAUGUUUCAUUCACUUAAAUCUGGAUAUGUGAAUAUUAAUGUACAAUAAGAUUAAAAUGGAGUAUCAUUUUUUACUUGUUGAUAACUCUAAUUGAUAAGACAGAAAGAGAAAAAGAAUAUGAAACAGAUGAUUUGCAUUUAUUGUCUUUAUGUUUCUCACUAUAUCAUUAUUAAUAUUUUCAUAUUUUAAUUUCUAAUUUUAUUUUUAAUUUGUGUAACAAAAUAUUCAUCACACUAUUAAAAAAACAUUCAUUAGUAUAUUAUAACGAUUUUUUUUAAAAACCUAACCUAUUUACAUAUAACCAGACAUGUUUGUUUGACUGUCGUACAAAUAUUAUUUUUAUUAAUGUGAAUUUCAUUUUUAUAUUCAAAUAAAGUAUAUUAACAUACACAAAUUAAUUAAAAUUAUAUAUGAUAAGUUAAUCUUCUACAGGUGAAUUGUACAGACUAAUCAAGAAUAACUUAUUUCAUAUAUUUAUUUAAAAACUGUUUUAUAAACUCUUUUUUUAUCUAGGCAUUUUAAAAAUAAGCUAUCAUUAUGUACCCAAAAAAUAUAAGCUAUCAUUAAACUGUUAGUUGCAUCCAAUAAAAUUUAUGACAUGUAUGGUUUGUUAGAAGAAGAUACCAAACUUAUAUAUCAUUAUUAUUGUUGAUAAAUUAAUCUUAUUUACAAAAGUAUAUCAAGACAUCUAGCAAUUCCUAUAAAGAUUCACCGCAUAUUUAUCAAUUAGAGUUGGCAAAAAAGAAUACCCAAAAAAAUGCCAAAAACAAUAUCUUUUCAUAAUUUUGAAUUCUUUAAUCAAAGUAUUUCCUGAUUUUAUUAUUAAGGUAGAAGACUAAUCUCGUCUAGAUUAAAGAUUAUUCAUUUCUAUAAUUAUUUCUUUUGAAGUCAUGCAGAUUGAAAAGAACGCAAUUUCAACAUAUAAAUUACUCUUACCCCUUUUGACUAGUUUGGAUACAAAAGUCACAAUUCAUAUAUAUAGAGAAUCAUUAUGUGGACACGGCAAAGCGAAAUUAAAUUGUCUUGGUCUCCGCUCCUUAACAAGAUGAAGACAAAACUAAUCAAGUCAUGCCUUUAUUUCUCUGAUCUAGUCCUAAACGUUGGUGUUGCCUUUUCUUUCAAAGUAUAAUAUUUCUGUGAUGUUAGUGGAAAGAUGAUUUACACGUAGUUAUUAUAUCAUUUACUAUUUAUUUGUAUUACUUUUUUGAAAGAGUCGUGAUGAUAAAAUAUGAAUGAUAUAAUGACAAUGUAUAAAACUCAUUCGAUGUAUGUAAAUAUAUUUUUUCACUUUGUUUUUCAUGUUAUUUGGUAAGAAAUAUUAAUUUGGAAUUUCAGUGUUGAAGGUAGAGGAAAGCUAAGGGACAGACCAAUACCAUCUCCACCGUUACCCACUGCUCCUCCUAAUCAUCAUCCAUAGAGAUCUCCAUUAUGAUUAAAUUUAUAACUUAUAAGGUUCAAUUCUCUAAUAGCAUGACACACAGUGUAACAUUUAUUAUUUAAGAAUUAACGAUUAAUAAAUAAUGUAUCGAAUAAAAACUCUUCCAC
rnacentral:lncRNA from 1 species